ACUGAGGUUACUGGAGCAACAUCCCGGAGGGAGGGAGCUGUGGGAGGAAGCGGGGCUGUAAAGAAAGAAAACCACAAUUCAGCUGCCUGUGAGAGGAGAGAGAAAGAGAGGGGCUGGCUGGAAAGGACAGCUUUGCUGAGCCCUGAAGAAAAUGGUUUGAGUAAUUCUCAACGCCUGCCAGUAUGUGGCAAGGAAGAUUGGGAGCGUGUGCAGCCGGGGAAACGAGGAGCCACCAACGCACCCCAGGCAGGCAGCGCAGCACAGCCAGAACCAGAAUGUAAACACAGUGGUCUCAGAAGGCCCCCAAGCAAGAGACACCAUUCCCAGGAGCAAUGACGCCAGCCAAGACCAGCCCUGCAGGUCCUGAGGGUAAAAGCCCUCGUGGUCAUCCCUAGAUGUCCACGAGCUUCCUUCUUACAGGCCUCCCCAGGCAGAUCUGUUUGCUGGGAAUCCUGCACCCUACGGAAUGGAAAUGCAUUUCAUCAGCAAAUCCCUCCUGUAGCUGCUGUAAACACAUGCACAGAAUGAUAGAAAAUGCCCUCGUCAAUCUCAUUACCAGAUUUUCCAGCCAAGGUUGCUGGCAGAAAAAAAAUUGUCAAUGUGUAUCAGGCACUCCUAGUGCUCUUGGGCCAUGGAGUGUCAGGAGAUAAGUAUGACCCAUGGUAUCCUAGGAUCAAAUCAAUUUUUUUUUUAUGGGGCCAAAUUCUGCUCCCGAUAAUACUGGUAUGCAUUCAGACUAUUUCACGGAGGUAGAGUCAUCUCCUGAGCCGGAGCAAGGAGUCUUGGAAUUUGGCUCUGGGGGAACCCCGUGACGAUUUGCACACAGCCCCUUCCCUCUCGCUGUGCCCCAGUACGCCAGUGAAGCUGUCUAACAGCAGUCAGAGCUAUGGUGCGAUGUGCAGCAGCCACAGGGUAGCGGGCUGCAGGGACCACGACCAUCUCCCCGCUCCUCCAGCAACCCCCCUGCCCCAUCACAGAGAGCAAUGACAGCAGAAUCACAAACUCCGUACGUGCGGGGAGGAAUCUGUCCGAAGUCAUCCUGUGACACCCUAAAUUGACCCAGCAAUAAAGAUCAAAAUAUGAACGAAGAGUCUUGUAGGGAAUGUGAUGGUUUUUCUCCUGAAAGAGUUUGACCGUCACUAUAGUGUUUGAACAGCCCAAUUGCUUUUGAUUUCACAUUUGUACGUUGGCAGCACUGGGACCCGCGGUGCUGUGGCUUUGUUUGCUGCUCACGCAGGAAGAGACAGUCCUCAUCUUGCAAGUGCCUGUGAUAGAAACAUCGGGAGAGAGAAGCGUGCGAGGCUAGGAGGAGGGCAUGGUGUUAUCCCACGUUGCUGGGACAGAGCUAGCAGCCUCCAGGUGCUCAGCUUCUUACUGCCACCGUGAGCAAUGAUUUGGUCUUCAGUGCCACAGGCUCUUCUGGUACAAUAUUGCAGGAGGAGAACAUGCUCGGUAACAGGAUAGGUCAUGCCACUGCAACGCACCGUGAAGGGAUGUGCACACUGUAGUGGCCUCAAUCUGAAACUCUCCCAGGCUUUGUGAGAGGCCGGAUUUCCAUGUGGGGUUUUAUUCAGGCAGGAGAGGCACAAGCGUUGCCAGGGGAGGCUGCAUGGCUCUGCGUGAGAGGAGUUAUUCAUUCGUGGGUACCAUCUUAGCUCACAACCACUUGUAGGUUUGCAGCACUUUAUUGCACAUCCCUGCAUGCACACCAAGCAAAUGCUAAGGUUUCCUGCUCCCUGCUGGCUCCUCUUCCAUACUAUACACAAACACAAUGUGGGGAAAUAAAAAAAAAAAAAAAAAAAAAAAAAAAUCAACCUGACCCGAAAUGGAGCAAGAGAGAAAUCUAAAAAGAGCCUUGCUCCAGACCUCCCCACAGCACACCGUGUCUUGUUUAAGCCCUAAUCCUGUAGAUCGUUAAGAUGUUCAACACCCUUGUUGGACAGUGGAGUUAACACAUAUGGUAGGUGCUGAGCACCUUCUCAAGCUGGUUCUUAAGUGGAAGAUUCAGUAAGUCAACUAGAGACAUCGUCCACAUCUGUCACAGGACAAAGCUCACUGUCACUAAAGAUACAAAUGUAAUUCAGAGCAAACAUCACAUUUAUAACACUGCUAAGCAGAGAUUUUCCCUGUCCUCCUUGUACCAAAAAAACAUGUUCUUCAUUUCAAAGGCAAGGGACUGGCAUUUGAAGAUAUUCCUCACUCUCCUCUGUGGCACAGGAAAAAGCAGUGGCAAAUUACCAAGGCGGAGCUCCACGCUACCGCUAGAUUGUCUUUGACACCUAACAUGGUUUCUUCAGAGCUAGCGAUUUAACCUGACAGGGCAGAAGUUUGCAGAGGUAAGCAGCUUUCUGAUGAGCAAUUUGCAUGUUUUAUUGGAGUCACAUUGCCACUCAUUCAUCCACAUAAGUCCAGGAUGAUCACUUACAACUCUUUCUCUGCCCCACGGCUUUUUCACGCCAUCGUACAUGGAUAGUUUUUAUUUCAGCUUUCUCCAGCCCCCUCCAGUCACCUGCCCAUGAACCAGCACUGUCUGGUGCUGAGCGCACUGGUCUCUACGAACUGGCACAGACAGGGCACUUCCCUGUGCUCCAUGUGCCCUGCUUCCAAGGCCGGAGGGAGCUGACCGCUGACCAGGAGCCGGGCGUAGCAGCCACUGAAGAUCACCAGCAGCUGCUGGGCCAUCACCUGGAACAAGCAGGAGAGGGAGUUCAUCCAGGGGAGGAACAGUCCUGAGAUUUUCAGAGGCUCUCAUCAUGCAAGUCUGAUCAGCACGGGCAAUUCAGUGCAGUACGAUGCAGCAUAUAUUUACACAGCCAGGUAGAAGAAAACAUUUUUUGAAGGCCAAGAGGAUAAAAUUCAUAUACAGUUAACCAAGUAAGGUAUUUACUUAUUCCUCAAGCAAUCUUGUUUCUUUCAAUAUGACAGCUCAAGGUGUCAGCUAUUUCAAAUUGAGAGACAUGCUUUCAAAAUUUGCCCUUGAUUCUUGAUGAUUUUCCUUUAUUAAAGCUGCAUGGUUAAUUAUCCAGACCUGCACAUGCCACAGGGCCUAAAU